rnacentral:rRNA from 1 species
UUGACCUCAAAUCAGGUAGGACUACCCGCUGAACUUAAGCAUAUCAAUAAGCGGAGGAAAAGAAACUAACAAGGAUUCCCCUAGUAACUGCGAGUGAAGCGGGAAAAGCUCAAAUUUAAAAUCUGGCGGUCCUUGUGGCCGUCCGAGUUGUAAUUUAGAGAAGYGUUAUCCGYGCUAGACCGUGUACAAGUCUCCUGGAAUGGAGCGUCAUAGAGGGUGAGAAUCCCGUCUUUGACACGGACUGCUAGGRCAUUGUGAUGCRCUCUCAAAGAGUCGAGUUGUUUGGGAAUGCAGCUCAAAAUGGGUGGUAAAUUCCAUCUAAAGCUAAAUAUUGAGGAGAGACCGAUAGCGAACAAGUACCGUGAGGGAAAGAUGAAAAGAACUUUGGAAAGAGAGUUAAACAGUACGUGAAAUUGCUGAAAGGGAAACGCUUGAAGUCAGUCGCGUCGUUCAGAACUCAGCCUUGCUUUGCUUGGUGUACUUUCUGUUCGACGGGUCAGCAUCAAUUUUGGUCGGUGGAUAAAGGCUUAGAGAAUGUGGCAUCCUCGGAUGUGUUAUAGCUCUGGGUCGCAUACAUCGGCUGGGAUUGAGGAACUCAGCACGCCGAAAGGCCGGGUACUUGUACCACGUACGUGCUUAGGAUGCUGGCAUAAUGGCUUUAAUCGACCCGUC